rnacentral:pre_miRNA from 1 species
UGUAACUUUCAAUUCCGUAGUGCAUUGCAGUUGAUUUAAGCAACUACUGCAUGCCCUGCAGAAUUGGCAGCUCUGUU